ensembl:snoRNA
ACCCUUUUGUCAUUCAUAAGCAGGAUGACUGGGUUUUCAUGCACUUGUGUGAGAUGCGCCUCCCUCAAUGUUGGCACAUUACCUGUCUGAUG